rnacentral:misc_RNA from 1 species
UCUAUUGCUUACUAUACCAGCUAGGGUUUUGUUUUUUUUUACACAGAAAAAAUGGGGCAACAAUCGCUGAUCUACAGUUUCGUUGCGCGAGGAACUGUGAUUCUCGCCGAAUACACUGAAUUCACCGGUAAUUUCACAAGUAUAGCUUCACAGUGCCUCCAGAAACUUCCGGCUUCUAAUAACAAGUUCACCUAUAACUGCG